GAUGAAGAACGCAGCGAAAUGCGAUAAGUAGUGUGAAUUGCAGAAUUCAGUGAAUCAUCGAAUCUUUGAACGCACAUUGCGCCCUUUGGUAUUCCAAAGGGCAUGCCUGUUCGAGCGUCAUUUGUACCCUCAAGCUUUGCUUGGUGUUGGGCGUCUUGUCUCUAGCUUUGCUGGAGACUCGCCUUAAAGUAAUUGGCAGCCGGCCUACUGGUUUCGGAGCGCAGCACAAGUCGCACUCUCUAUCAGCAAAGGUCUAGCAUCCAUUAAGCCUUUUUUUCAACUUUUGACCUCGGAUCAGGUUGGGAUACCCGCUGAACUUAAGCAUAUCAAUAAGCGGAGGA
rnacentral:misc_RNA from 1 species